rnacentral:rRNA from 1 species
AACGUAGGACACAAGCGUUAUCCGGAGUUACUGGGCGUAAAGGGCGUGUAGGCGGAUCGGUAAGUCUACUCUGAAAGCCCCGGGCUCAACCUGGGAACUGCGCUCGAAACGGCGGAACUAGAGUUCGGGAGAGGUAAGUGGAAUUCCGAGUGUAGAGGUGAAAUUCGUAGAUAUUCGGAAGAACACCAGUGGCGAAGGCGACUUACUGGACGACUGUUGACGCUGAGGUGCGAAAGCGUGGGGAGCAAACAGG